rnacentral:lncRNA from 1 species
CCUGCACUCUGAAUAUGUUCAUGAGUAUGGAACCAUGUCAAACUCAAACACAUAUUCAUAUUGAUUCUUAAUUAACCAAUGAUAACUUUAAUGAAGAAGUAUUAGAAACUCUUUCUAAUCUCUUUCUUACUUUUAGCCAAAAGAUUUUUUUUGAAUCAUCUAGGAUUGAGAAUACAUAGGAUGCGAUCUCUUCUUACUAGGAGUGAUCGAUUCC